CGGACGGUCUUGGACUCACCACACCUCCUCGCAGAGGACUGUGCGCCCCGGGUCUCCUGGCACGGCCCCCGCGGAGUUGAGGAGCUCACAGCUCGGGCUCACAACUCCCGGCGCAGACUGCACGUCUUUGUAGCACUGUUGGAGGAAUGAGCAUGGAGAAGGAGUGGGAAGGAGAGAGGUGUCUUUGUGGCAACAAUGAGUGAAUCUUCUCUAGUUUUUUUCCCUGGCUGCUGCUCUUUGUUUUUUUUGAGGUUUUUUUCCCUGCACUUUUUUUUUUUUUUUUUUCUUUUUUUCAAGGAAGAGGAUCUUAAUGAAAGAAAAAAACCCUCUGGAUUUUUUUUUUCUCUCCGCUUCCCCCCUCUCCCCCUCCCCUUGAUGUGGCCUCUUGUUUAGCUUGUGGCGUGACCGUGAUGAAGAAAUGUUUCAGGGCGCCUGGCAGGGUGAUCUUUUUAUGUAAUGAGUCAGGAUUUUGCCAACGGAAGGAGCCGGCUCGGAGCGAGGACCGGAGGGCUGUCUCCUUUCAAGAACGGGGACCUGGCCGGCGAGCGGCUCCCUGUGCGCGGGAUCCCCGCUCGCUGCGGGCGCUGAUCCAUUCCCGUUCCCGGCUCGCCGGGGCACCGCCGCGGGCACUGACAAGUGGACAUCCUAGUAAAGCAGCAAAUGGAAUGUAACGACAAAUGGAACUGAAAGACUACAAUCCUUCUCUAUGGAAAAAAAUACUACAGAGCUGACUGGUAAGUUCUUUACAGAGGAGUAUAAACUGAGGAGAGUAUUAGAAAGCAUUCCUACAGAGCAUGACUAGUUUAGUUCUUAGUCAAGUGACAAAUUUUAAAAAUUUAAUAAAUCUUUAUUCAGUGAUUUUUGAUUAUAUGGGAAGUACAUGAUAUGUAGUCCUAUAAAUGAAAUAUCUAUUUCUGCUUAACUUUUAGAUUUACAGCCAUAUCGAUUGUUAGCCAAGGUCUAAAUGUAAGUAAUUAAAAUAAUGAGCAAACAUUUCAGAAUGCAGGUAAUGCAUUGUACCUGGUUCUGCCUCAUGGCAACAAAUGAUCAUUUAAGGAGCAAGACCUAACCAGUGUGUAUAUAUGUAAGUGUGUGUGUGUGUGUGUGUGUGUGUAUAUAUAUAUAUAUAUAUAUACACACUUGUGGUUUGCUUUAGGAGAUGCAAAGGCAAUACCUCUUUUCUAUAAAACCCAUGUUUUAAUGUUUGUAGGGUGACUUAACAGCUUAACCCCCCUAAGGAUGGUGCCUGGUUUUGUAGGUAAAUACAGAUUCAGAGUAGAAUCUUUCAAAACUCAGCAAAUUCCUCUUUGAGUCCUACCUACCUUAGAGGCUUAUCAUGUGAGGGGAUGAAUAACUCCUUGACAGUACCAUUGCUCUUCACUGAUAAAUAGUCCUCUUGUUCAUCAUGGUCCCUAGAUUUUGGACAUCCAAAGUAAGGAGGUAUUAAUUAUCCUUAAAGUCACUAUGUUCCUUAGAGGAUUAAAAAAAUGAAAAGUCAGCACAUUAUUUUUUGCACAUUAUUUUUCUUACAUACAAGAUCAGAAGAAAUCCUUAAAAAAAGUAUUCUAAUAUUGUCUCAUUGUAGCUGCCUAUUCUAUAUAUGACACCACUUUAUAAACUGCACAGAUCUAUUAAUCUAUAAAUCUGCAACCUACAGAUAUUCUAAAUGACAAAAUAAAUUGAGCAUCAAUACAGAAAACAUAAUGCAUUUAUCAUGCAGAAGUAAUUUCCACCUAUAAACACAUUUUAAAUUGAACUAGAGAAGACUAAUAUCGCAUAAAAAAAUAAAGCAACUAGACAUUUAACUCACAGGAAGUAACAUGAUCAAAAAUAAAGUCUAAAUGACAAAACAGUCAGUAAUUGUCUCUGUGAAAUUACUGGCAGUAAGAUUUUAUGUCAUUAUUAUCAUAUUGGUAAAACUUUCUACAGUAUAAAAGUAUACACUAAACAUUGUGUUGUAAAAAUCCCUGUGGUAUGAGUCAUAAAAAAACCCCAGCAGAAACAGGUGUCUCUAUUACCUGACAGCUCUACAAGGCUUUGAAAUCAGAAACUGAUCUGCACAACCAUAACUUUAUGGUCUCACAAAUGUACUUUAAAUAAGUAGAUUUGUGAGACCAUUUUACUUGCAAUGAAAUACAGCAAAAUGUUCUUUUGACAGAACAUUUUAUCCUGAGUCCCUAUUUCUAUAUUUCAUCCUAAAAAUCACUUUUAUAAAUUACAAGUGUCACAGAGACCAGUGUGAAUUAAAAAACAAAUCUCUAUGAAAAGAGUCUUGAUUUGAAUAGGCUGUUUUGCUUUUAAAUCAACUGGAAACCCAGACCAAAUUCCCUUUAACAUAUUCAGUGUGCCUAAGCUGAUUUUGGUUUCAUUUCAACACAGCAAAUAGUACUGGUGACAGGCAAUAACAUGAAACUCAAGAGAUUUUGGCCGUGAUUCUUGCAAAAUCUGGAGAAUUAGUAAGUCUGAAGUCUGUGAAACCGGUACAAAAGUGAAGGAAUUAUCCAUGCUAACCUUUUCAUGCCUAAUUAGUUACCAAAGUGAAAGGGUUUUGCUAUAUUCAUAAAACUAAAAUCCCGAUUCGUACAACUGUACUGAACAGGAAGGGUCCCUCUCCUAUUAAAUGCAGAGUGAAUAAACAUUGGAGACUGGAAAUGCUGGUUGAUAAAAAUGGCUGGUGCCUGUCCCAGAGGAGGUUCUCUCUGGAACACAGACUCUGAUAGCUGGAUUAACACACUGAAUAAAUAAGGAUGAUGACUUUUUAGAUAUUACUACUGGCAAUUUCUUUGUACUCAUUCCUCUGGAAUACUCCUAUUGGUUUAGGAGGAGAGGACACAACAAAUUCACCAUAAAUCCUAUGCCUAAUUCCACAUUUAAACAGGCUCCUUUGGUGCAGUGGGAGAUGCCUCUGCAAUGAGAAAUUGUGUGUGUGAGGGCAGUGCCCCAUGGCUGUGUAUCUGUACAUCUCUUCACAGCAAACAUUGCCUAGGCCAGGCUGUGACCUCAGGCAAGAAGGAGAUUGCUUGACUUUCAUAUAAAAAAGCAUGUUGCAUGAUAACUGGAAAAUUAUUUUUGCAUUAUUCCAGAAGCUGGACCAAAUAAAGAGCUGCUGUGAUGUAAUCCCAGAGACACAUCUCAGGUACUUGCUUUGAGCUGCAGAACACUGUCAAAUGAGUAGCAUAAUCUAGAAAUUAUCUAGGAAAACUGCAUUUUGUCCUUAAAACUAACAUUCAAGAGUAUUGCUUAUGGGUGUUAUUUCACACUUUGCACAACAAAUAUGUUUCAUUUAUACAAGUGUACAUUUUCACUCAAUAUUUACACUCUUCAUACACACCCAUUAUUAAUGUAACCCUUACUCCCUAUUGUUGAAUGGAUUUUUACCUGUAGCAUAAGGUUUAUUCAUAAGCAAUUGCUUGACUAGAAUGAAUAAUGUAAAAAUCACAUUUUCAAACAAUGACCUACAUGAAUCACUAGUGGUUAGUGACAGAAAACAAUAUGGUUAUAGUUCACUGUAAGAUCUUUCAAUUAUUAGAUUGAAGUUUUCUGGCAAAAUAUUCACUAGCUUGAAUUAAUUGUGAUAACCACUUAUUCACCAAAACAAAGAAGUACACCUACACAAUUCCAUCAGACCUCCUCAAGUCUUUACUAACAUGGACAAAUUGCAAUAGAAAAUCUUUUAAGGAUUUACUGGAAAAGGCAAACUCAGUUGUUAGCCUAAGAGUUUAGUUAAAAUAUAUAGGAGAAGCCUUCAUGGUGCUCUCUGCACUUGACUGCAGCCAAUACUAUUAAUCCUCUAAUGUCAUAAAUACUGUAGGAAAGACAUGCUAAUAAAAAAGACAGCACUGACACCAUUUAUCAUGUGUAGAACUCUAUAAAUAAUGCAGAAAUCUCUCUCGCUUUUACAAGAAAAUCAGCUUUACAACAAUUUUCUGAGAGAAUUGACUAUAAUUUUGCUGCAAAAAUAUUUAUACUCUGAAAAUAAAAGUAUUUUUAAAUAACCACAUGACUUUAAUUGUCAUUAUUAUAUCUAUGUCAGCUUUUAAUGAAAGACUUAUGGAUGUGCUCUUAGUGUUCUUAUCUGUUCUGUUUGUGGGAAGAUUUGAUUUAAUAAUGAAAUCUGCUCCAUUUGAAAAAUGCAUUUCAGCCUAAUGUCAGAGCUUUGAAAACCUGGAUUGGUUCAAUAUCUAAAAUGACUUAUAGUUGGGAAAAAUGGGUUUUCUCCUAAUUAAGACACAUUACAAUGAGAUUGUUCAAAUUAACUACUGCUAACAAAAAUGCCCAAGUUACAUUGAUUUAGAAAAGAUCAAGCAAAUAGCUGUUUCCUGAUACAAGCCUGCUGCAGAGCACUCUGUAGGGAACCCCACUCUGUGGAAUUUAAGGGCACUGGUGGAAUUUACAGAGUCCAUACACCACAUUCUUAAAAUGUUGAUAAAGACUGAGUUUCAGUUACUUACAUCAAAUUGUUAAAGGUUGUCAAAAUAAAUACUGCAAGGUAAAACUCAGCAAAAUGCAGUAUUGUUUUUACCACAAUCUCUAUUUUCCAGGUAUUUGUAAAAUUGAGUUGUUCAGCCCAUUUCCUAUUAUGAAGAAAUCCUUUAUAAUUUUGAGUUAUGGGUAGUAGCAAUACCCAUUAAGAAGCAGACAAUAAGUAUAGCAGUGGCUUUGGCUCAAAAUCUAAAUCCUAAACCUGUAUAACAUUGUAGAAGUAGGUUUUUUUUAAUGGUAUAUAAAUGUGUUAUUCUUCCCUGUGCAAACUGUGCUUUUGCAAGGAGCCCUGUAAUCUUCGUUGAACAUAAUUCAGUGAUGGAACUCCUCAGAGGAACAGGACUGCCUGGAUACAACGCCAUGUAGAACUGAGGAAUUUUUAUUCUUUUUACUCAACUGAAAAUAAAUAAAAGUAUAUUUUGUUAUUGUUUUACAAUGCUUAUGGGAAAAUUUUAAAAAUCUAAAUUUUGUCAUAAUUCUUGUUUUGCUUAUUCUUUUCUUAUGGGUAAAAUGUUCUAUUCUUUGUUGAAAAGUGAGGUGAUUCAUGUCUGUGCAAGUGUCAGGAUUAUGUAUAUUCUGUAUAUUUGUGAUAGUCAUAAUGAGUGUAACUUUAGAAUGAGAAUAAAAUAUGAAUUAAAUCGUUUUCCCAAUACAAACUGUACAGAUUUUUGAAAGAUGAUAUAAUCCUCACAAAACUUCUAGGGCCCACAUUUGUUUGUGGCAGACACCUUCUGGCCCUUAGACUGAUUAUAUGAAUAGAUGCUAAUAAAUAAAACAUCUCUAGUUAAUAGUCCCAAAGAUAUAAUUUAUAUUAGCACUGGAACUUGCUGUAUGUACUGCUAUGGAUUAUAGUUUUCAUUGUAUGACUUUUUUAUUUCAACCACAACUCAACAGGAUGGAAAAGGAAAGUGUGAAUACACAUAAAUGUGAAAUGUUGUGACUAAGCACAGCAGUGUAACGAUGGAAAAUUUUUCCUACAAAUCAUCUCUUUGCAUGAAGCUUUAAAUGUAUUUCCUCCACAGAACUCAAACCAACCCCCUGAUGUAAUAUUAAAGUGAGUGGCCUGUCUAUGUAUGUCCCUUGCAUCAUCAUUCCUUAUAACUGCUUUGUAUGAUACAGGACUGCACAGGAAGGAGUUUGCUGUGACCCCACCCCUGUGGUUCCCACAAAAGCUACCACUGAAACCCUCAAAUGCCUGCCAGAAAUCUCAGCAUUGAAAAUUCUAAGGAAUUUGCCAGUAUGGUUUUAAAAGAAGCCAAGAGGAUCAUCAGUUACAUACAAUGAUUACAUUUUUGCCUGCUGAUAUUAAUCUAUUUUUAAAAAGAAAUGAAAGAAAUAUGUAUUUUACUUUUCUCAUGCUUGUGACUGCAGAUUCCAGUUAAAAAGUGACCAUUUAGGUUACAGCUUUUGUACUUCCAUUUCCCCCUUCAAUUUGUCAAAUGCAGUGAGAGCACUAAAAAAAAAGAGAGAAGAAUAGAGGUGGCAAGGCUUCUAAUUAUAACCAAGAUUGUUUAUGUCGAUGAGUUCUGCAAAAGGAUAGUGUGUUUCUGGGACUGUCUCAGUGAGUUGGUUUGCAAUGUGCUCACUGUGCAUCCCUUAUCGUUCAUAUUUCAAAGACCUUUUUCUUCCAAGGCUCUAAACAUACAUAUCAAAAGUUUAAUAAAUAACUCAGUUGUGGAGAUUGAAGUAUUGAAGCUGACUGACUCUGCCAAGUCAAUAUUUACUAUUAGACAAAGGAUUAGAUUUCAUGUCAUGCCUCCAAAUCUUACAUCCAGAAUUGUCCACCUACCACACUGUGAUAAAUGUUCAUGUGUUUGGAUUUAAGUGCUUAGAUGCCAUGGAAGAGAAAUCAGGAAAAUUACUAAAAAUUUUUUAAGGCUAACUCAGAUGUUGAGCAUAAACCCCCCACACAUUUCAUGUUACAAUUCUCCUCACUACCAUUUCUCAGAAAUGUUUUGAUUCAUCCCUGUGGAACACUUUGUGUGCUGCAGUUUAACUUUGUAUUUCUAUCAUGGUACCAGCAAUGUGCUAAACCAGCCAUUUCCUACAGCCCGUGCGUUGCUUGCUCCUAAGCCAAACGUGUCCUGUCUGCUCCCAUCCCUGCUGUCUGCCGCAAUUAUCAUUUUUUGUAAGAUAAGAAAAUCCCAUUUUUACCACAGGAGAGCCAGGCUGCUUAGGUCACAAGAUUCUCCUGGCUUAAUCCUGACGUAUGAAUCAUGAACUUUCCCUAAUAAGUACCAGCAUUCUUCAGAUGAUCAAGCUAGCUUACCAAGGCUUCCAGAGCUUUCCACAUUAAUUAUCACCAUGGUUAAAGGAUCCAAAGCAGCAGCUAAUAAAGAAUUAUUAAGAUUGUAAGUUGUUUAUUCUUACUUUUCCUUUGUGUCCUCUAUUCCUUACUCUAAUUUGGGUUGAUAUUGUAAAUGGCAAUAAUACAACUCAGUUAAAAGAUAACAACAUAUGAAAAGGAUUAUGAAAAAUAUAAAUUGAACUGGAAAUUAACUAUAUGAAAAAUUGGAAACAAAUUUGCUUGCUUUCUACACUAGAAUGGGUCAAAAGUAAGCUAUACAUGACCACAAUUUCUGUUCAGAAAAAGCUUUUUUCUCACAUUAAUUAUCAGAAAAUUGUAAGAUAAUCAGACUAAUAGUAAGCCUCUACUCUGGAAAUAAAUGACUUCUGCAACUUUUGCAGAAGCACACACACUGUUGAGAAGUCAUAGUAAAUACUAUGUGAUUAGGUAAGUAUUCUGUUAGAAAUAAAUAAAUAAUGACUUUUAAAAGAAAAAGAAACUAUUUCUUAACAUUUGAAAGUGGAAACAGAACAUUCACUCUAAAUUCAGAGUACAGAAAAUUGCUGAAAUUUGUCUGGACUUCUAAGUACUUUCAAUAUGGAAACCUGAUGAUCCUGGGCAUCUCAGGAAAAGAUUUAUAUUCUUGCACUAAAUUCAGAUACUAAGUGUAAUAAAACCAGAACAAUUAAAAGCCUAUUAUGUUUAUCUACCAAAAUUAUAUUUUUUUAUCUUUUACCAGGAUGAGCAAAUCUAAAUAAAGAUUGGGGAAAUUCCUCAAACACUAUUUUAAGCGUGGCACAGCAUGAUAGUAAAAAAGUGUAUUUUAUAUUUGGAAAAAAAUAAGAAGAUUUGUUCUUAACUGGCAGGUAAUUAGCAACCUGCAUAGGUGGAUCAAUUAUAUAUGUAUGAAAAACAGAACACAGCCAAGUCAUAGUCAAAAAUCCUUUGGGAACUUCUGUGAAAACAGCAAAUAUUUCUACAAUAGCAGUAAUUAAGCCUGAAAAUAAAAGGAGAAAGCCCUGAAAGGAAAUCAGAAGUGAGUCAAAAUCAUUAGUGGUUACUCUCAUAUUUAUCAUCCAAAGUGAGUCAAAAUCAGCAGGCGUUACUCUCAUAUUUAUCAUUCUAUAAACAGUACUGUAAGAAUGCAGUGAAGAGGAAAGGAAGAAACGAGAUUAAAAGAGCAAAUCCAUCUUUAAUAUUCUUUCCAAAGAAAGAAUAUUUGAGAAGAGUACUGAAAAUUGAGAACAGUACUACUAAAGAAGCAUUAAAUAGAAAGUUCUUUAAGCACUCAAAUGAGUUCUGAAAAAGAACUAAAACCAGUGGAAUAACAUUCUAGUUUAUGUUUUCCAGACAAAUCCUUUGAAAUCAAAUUCAGAUACUGUAUGUAGAUAUUUACAAAUUUUUUAAAUGCAUAAAAUUAUCAUAUAGAUUCAGUAGAGCCCUUUUUUGAGGCAUAAUUCAGUGACAUACUUGAACAAGUGAGUAGCUGAACAUGAGUCUUGCUUCCAAGGACUUGCAUAAUUUAGCGACCAGGUUCAGGAAAUGAUUCUAAGUAAUACCAGCCUGAUUCAAUAAAAUAUUUGGAGACACAGGGUACUGAGCAUUGAAUUUAGAAUUUAAUGUUUGCUAUGUCUGUAAACAGAUAAACAGAAUCUUGCUCUAGAAUGAAGGUGUCUCUGCAGAAAAAGAAACAUUCUCUAGUUCUAGUAACUGUUAUCCUGAAUAAUACAGUAUACAGAAAUCAGGCAGAAAAUCUAGCAUCUCUGGGUAGAGAUCUAUGCCAUCCCUGUCUUAAAAACCCUUAUUUGUUAGGGAUAAGCUCAAGCCACUUAAGUAAGAGCUACAGAGAGAUAAGCAACACUUCUGCUAAAAAAGUUACCAAACUUUUUCCAGACUUAGUGAAAAACACUGCAAAGUCUUAUAAACACUUCAUAGCAUCAUGCAAAAAUUUAAAUUAAAAUUUUAGGCUACCACUGUGCUGAAUGUUUAAAGAAGAAGUUUAAAGUUCUCCAGAAGCUGUUCUGUUUGAUUAUUAACUCUUUUUGUCCUGUUCCUCACUACCUCUGAAAACAUUUUGGGGUUUUCUUAUGGAAGGGUACAAAUCUGCAGAAAUUGUUUCACAAUUCAUAUUUAAAAAAACCCAACUCUAAAGUUAUGCUUUCAACAAAACACAGCAUAACAUCUUAACCUAAUAAAGUACUGCCCUACUUUCUGAUUUGCAGACUUCAAAAAAGGAAUAUAAAUAUUUUACUUUGGCAUUGGGGCAAAAUUACUUCCUAAGGAAAAAAAAAAAUUGAAAAAACUACCUUAUCUUGGUACUCCUUUAAGUCCUAGAAACUGCAGAACCAGACUGUUUUGAGAUGUGACAAUGUACAUGAUGCAGAUCAGUUAACAGGAGCCACAUUCAAUUGCUGUUCUACAAUGACAUUAAGUAAUCAGAAAGGACAACAGAAAAGAAACAUUUGCAGUGCUGGGUUUUUCCUUUGGAUGAAAUGAGCUUGUGUAGAGUUACAAAAAUGAACUAAAAUUAUAAGGCCAGUACAGGCAUGGCAUGAUCCUAAAGAAGAAUCUGUUUCUAUCUUCCAUGUGCUGUACAAGCACAAAAGUAACAAUAUAUCUGACCAAAAAUAUUUUUAUUUAUGAACAGAAAAUUAUUAAUAAAACUAUUUUGAGAUAGCAUUAAAAGCAACAGUGAAAACAAAAUAAAUGUAAGUAUAUAGCAAAAAGCAAGAUGGUUUUGAAUGCUAGACAGAUAUAGAAAUGAUUUCCUAAAACUUCUUUCAGUUACUAUUAAGUGUCAUUGAUCCAGUGCAGAUUGUUCAUUAAUUCUUCAUAUUCUCUGUGUAUCACUAUAUUAAAGAAUAGGAAAGUAAAGAUACACAGAGUUUACACCAUCUCUCUUUUCAGUCAGCAGUUACUUCUCCUUUUGGUUUUGUUUAAUCUCUCAAAGGGACAAAGGAAGGAGAGCAAUAGAUUUUCUCUGAAAAAUACUGCUCUUAAUGUAUGUUAUCUACUUACAAGUAUUAAAUUCAACUUAAUAUAUGCAGUGAUCAAUAGCUAUGAACUUCAUGGGGCAGUGGGGCAGGAAGGCUACAGCAAUUAAACUCUGUCAUAAGUCACAAGGACUGCUGGUGGCUGUUCUCUUUCUACCCUAAAGGGUUUUCUCUUGCUUGAUAUACCAAUAAAUUUACAUUACAAACCUGAUUUUUUCUUAUGCAUGUAAUAUAUUUUAAUAUAUAAGUUCAGCAAUGGCAAUUGCAUCAGUUUAACAUUCAACAUUUAUCUCUUCUUCAUGGUCUUCAUUUAUCUACCGUAUUUAUUAUCAGAUAAUGCAUAUGUAUAUGCAUAGGAUUCCUACCACAUUACAUUAUUGUUUAUGAUUUAAAAGCAAAUUAGUUAAUUUUUUCUUCAUAACAAAGAAUGCAGCAUGUUAUUUUUAUGUACCACUAGGAGAAAACUGAUAAAGAGGAAAUGAAGCAGGGGAACAGAAAAAGAAAGUGAGAAAUGAAAUCCAAGUUUCUAAUGCAGCGAUGUAAUGCCAAGAAACUGCUCCAGAGAAAAUGAGUAACUGCCAGCUUUUCUACCUGUUGCCAAGAAAAUGUUGCUGUGUUCACUGAUCCUGUAAUUAAACUGAGUAUGUUCUGAAACAA